AGCGGGGACUUCGGUCCGCCGGCGAGUGGCGAACGGGUGAGUAAAGUAUCGGAACGUACCUUUCAGUGGGGGAUAACGUAGCGAAAGUUACGCUAAUACCGCAUAUUCUGUGAGCAGGAAAGCAGGGGAUCGCAAGACCUUGCGCUGAUUGAGCGGCCGAUAUCAGAUUAGCUAGUUGGUGGGGUAAAGGCCUACCAAGGCGACGAUCUGUAGCGGGUCUGAGAGGAUGAUCCGCCACACUGGGACUGAGACACGGCCCAGACUCCUACGGGAGGCAGCAGUGGGGAAUUUUGGACAAUGGGCGCAAGCCUGAUCCAGCCAUGCCGCGUGAGUGAAGAAGGCCUUCGGGUUGUAAAGCUCUUUCGGCCGGGAAGAAAUCGCAUGGGCUAAUACCCUGUGUGGAUGACGGUACCGGAAUAAGAAGCACCGGCUAACUACGUGCCAGCAGCCGCGGUAAUACGUAGGGUGCGAGCGUUAAUCGGAAUUACUGGGCGUAAAGCGUGCGCAGGCGGUUUUUUAAGAUAGGCGUGAAAUCCCCGGGCUCAACCUGGGAACUGCGCUUAUGACUGGAAGACUAGAGUAUGGCAGAGGGGGGUGGAAUUCCACGUGUAGCAGUGAAAUGCGUAGAGAUGUGGAGGAACACCGAUGGCGAAGGCAGCCCCCUGGGCCAAUACUGACGCUCCAGCACG
rnacentral:rRNA from 1 species